rnacentral:rRNA from 1 species
AUACGUAGGAUCCGAGCGUUAUCCGGAUUUAUUGGGUUUAAAGGGAGCGUAGGCGGAUUAUUAAGUCAGUUGUGAAAGUUUGCGGCUCAACCGUAAAAUUGCAGUUGAUACUGGUAGUCUUGAGUGCAGCAGAGGUAGGCAGAAUUCGUGGUGUAGCGGUGAAAUGCUUAGAUAUCACGAAGAACUCCGAUUGCGAAGGCAGCUUACUGGACUGUAACUGACGCUGAUGCUCGAAAGUGUGGGUAUCAAACAGGAUUAGAUACCCCGGUAGUCCACACAGUAAACGAUGAAUACUCGCUGUUUGCGAUAUACAGCAAGCGGCCAAGCGAAAGCAUUAAGUAUUCCACCUGGGGAGUACGCCGGCAACGGUGAAACUUAAAGGAAUCGGCGGGG